AGUGAACGCUGGCGGCAGGCCUAACACAUGCAAGUCGAGCGGCAGCGCGUCCGACCACCCUCGGGUGGUCGGAUGGCGGCGAGCGGCGGACGGGUGAGGAAUGCAUCGGAAUCUGCCUCGUUGUGGGGGAUAACGUAGGGAAACUUACGCUAAUACCGCAUACGACCUACGGGUGAAAGUGGGGGACCUUCGGGCCUCACGCGAUGAGAUGAGCCGAUGCCGGAUUAGCUAGUUGGCGGGGUAAAGGCCCACCAAGGCGACGAUCCGUAGCUGGUCUGAGAGGAUGAUCAGCCACACUGGAACUGAGACACGGUCCAGACUCCUACGGGAGGCAGCAGUGGGGAAUAUUGGACAAUGGGGGGCAACCCUGAUCCAGCCAUGCCGCGUGUGUGAAGAAGGCCUCGGUUGUAAGUACACUUAAGUCGAGGAGGAAGUUAGUUUUAGUUUAA
rnacentral:rRNA from 1 species